AGAACGAACGCUGGCGGCAGGCUUAACACAUGCAAGUCGAGCGCAUCCUUCGGGGUGAGCGGCAGACGGGUGAGUAACGCGUGGGAAUCUACCUUUUGCUACGGAAUAGCUCCGGGAAACUGGAAUUAAUACCGUAUGUGCCCUUAGGGGGAAAGAUUUAUCGGCAAGAGAUGAGCCCGCGUUGGAUUAGCUAGUUGGUGGGGUAAAGGCCUACCAAGGCGACGAUCCAUAGCUGGUCUGAGAGGAUGAUCAGCCACAUUGGGACUGAGACACGGCCCAAACUCCUACGGGAGGCAGCAGUGGGGAAUAUUGGACAAUGGGCGCAAGCCUGAUCCAGCCAUGCCGCGUGAGUGAUGAAGGCCUUAGGGUUGUAAAGCUCUUUCACCGGAGAAGAUAAUGACGGUAUCCGGAGAAGAAGCCCCGGCUAACUUCGUG
rnacentral:rRNA from 1 species